GACGAACGCUGGCGGCGUGCUUAACACAUGCAAGUCGAACGGAAAGGCCCAGCUUGCUGGGUGCUCGAGUGGCGAACGGGUGAGUAACACGUGGGUGAUCUGCCCCUAACUUCGGGAUAAGCUUGGGAAACUGGGUCUAAUACCGGAUAGGACAAUCGUUUAGUGUCGAUUGUGGAAAGUUUUUUCGGUUAGGGAUGAGCCCGCGGCCUAUCAGCUUGUUGGUGGGGUAAUGGCCUACCAAGGCGUCGACGGGUAGCCGGCCUGAGAGGGUGGACGGCCACAUUGGGACUGAGAUACGGCCCAGACUCCUACGGGAGGCAGCAGUGGGGAAUAUUGCACAAUGGGCGCAAGCCUGAUGCAGCGACGCCGCGUGGGGGAUGACGGCCUUCGGGUUGUAAACCUCUUUCGACAGGGACGAAGCUUUGGUGACGGUACCUGUAUAAGGAGCACCGGCUAACUACGUGCCAGCAGCCGCCGUAA
rnacentral:rRNA from 1 species